CCUACGGGAGGCAGCAGUGGGGAAUAUUGGACAAUGGGGGCAACCCUGAUCCAGCAAUGCCGCGUGUGUGAGGAAGGCCUGAGGGUUGUAAAGCACUUUCAGUGGGGAGGAGGAUACUUAGGUUAAGAGCUAGAGUAUUGGACGUUACCCACAGAAGAAGCACCGGCUAACUCCGUGCCAGCAGCCGCGGUAAUACGGAGGGUGCGAGCGUUAAUCGGAAUUACUGGGCGUAAAGGGUGCGUAGGUGGUUGAUUAAGUUAUCUGUGAAAUCCCCGGGCUCAACCUGGGCAGGUCAGAUAAUACUGAUUGACUCGAGUAUAGGAGAGGGUAGUGGAAUUUCCGGUGUAGCGGUGAAAUGCGUAGAGAUCGGAAGGAACACCAGUGGCGAAGGCGGCUACCUGGCCUAAUACUGACACUGAGGCACGAAAGCGUGGGGAGCAAACAGGAUUAGAUACCCUGGUAGUCCACGCUGUAAACGAUGUCAACUAGCUGUUGGUUAUAUGAAUAUAAUUAGUGGCGCAGCAAACGCGAUAAGUUGACCGCCUGGGGAGUACGGUCGCAAGAUUAAAACUCAAAUGAAAUUGACGG
rnacentral:rRNA from 1 species